GUAAUUUUCCUAAAGGUCAAAGGCAUGAGGGUAAAUGAAUAACUUUCCCUGGAUUCAACUGGGAAAAGCCAGGAUGAGCAGAACUCUUAUGCCCACCAACGGAUCUUGGAAGGUGUCAGCAUGAAUGUCACUUCCUGAGAGAGACCCUCCCUGACCCCCUAGAUGUCCCACAGCAUCUCCUGGCAUUCACUCUUUAUCUCAGUGCCCUGAUUCAUUUUCUGUAGGUCUGAUCUCUAACUGAAAUAAUUUCGGUUAUGUAUUUCCUUAUGUGUGGUUGGCUCUGACUUCUUCCAUUAGACUGGCAGGCAGAGAUUCUAUAUCCCAGAGCACCCAGUACAACCUACCACAGAUUCAAGGGAAGGGGUGUCUAUGGACUCCAGGUUAAGAAUUCCUGUUCUAGAAUAUAUCACUUAAGCUUAGUUCACCAUUUUAACUCUAGCACAUAAGACACAGUAGAUACUCUUUACAUAUCUGUGGAAGGACGGAUGGAAAGGAGGAAGGAAGGAACAAAGGAGGGGAGCAGCAUUCUUCUUUGUGUCUGAUAUUGUUCUCAGAACAAGCUUGCCAAUGAAUGAAUGAAUCCUACAAGCAGGGCAGUGAUAAAUGAGAGUAGUCCCUUCCUCCACCAGCUCUAAUAGCAAUUGUAACUUGGGUGAGGGCUGUUGUAUACUAUGAAAACCCAUUGAGUAACCCCCCCACCCCCCAUACCUGACACAGAAUGUGUACUUGAAUGAUUAAAUGAAAUGCCUCUUUGGCUGACAGAGACAACCCCCACACUAUAAUAUAUCAGGUAUGAGGGAUCAAUGCUCUGAGAUUUCUAUCAGAUCAGUUUUCCCUUUGGGCUGCCAAUGGCUUCCUUUCUCAUCAGCAUGAUCAGAGCUUUUGUGGGCUAUUGGUCUUUACCAUGACAGCACUUCUCAUGGGAACCAGCCUUACCAUCAUCACCUGCCCUUGUCAAGCUGGAGUCAUAUGUAAGACAUCCAAGGGUAGGACCCCUUUUCCCGCUUGGUGGGAAGACAAAACCCAUGGGAUAGCGGGUUAACUAAGAAUCUGGCUCUGUCCUCUGACAGAUGAUUUCAGGUGCUCAUGAAUAUCAACUGGAAAGAUCAGUGCUAGGUGGAUUAUUUUUCUCAUGAUGCCUUAUAAGUCAGCAGUCACUGACAGAACUUAAAUGAAAACUCAGUGCUAGUAAAGACAAAAUCUAAUUCAUUACUCAAUGCUUCAAAAAAAUUCCUAAUAUGUCAGCUGUGCAGAUGCCAACAUGCAUCUAUUGGUAUCAGACACUUAAACUUUUGGAAUGCUUUCUAAGAUAUUUAAGAAUAAAUGAAUAUUCAUGAAAGUGCUAUAAAAAUGAAGGAUCUAUUUCUGAAUAGGGGAAAGAAAUAGCUUGGUAAAAUAAAUAGCAACUAAAGGUGGCUGUAAACACUAGAGGUUAUGCAUGAACCUGCUUUAUUGUGAUGGUACAGAGGGGUCCAUCUUUCUAGGUUAUCAUGCAGAUCAAA